UUCUGGGUUAUAAUAAAUUGAUAAUUACCGGCUGGGCUGCUGCGCUCGCGCCAGAGUCGCGCGUCCUCUCGGCAUCAUAAUCACGUACGUACGUAUAACGUCAUUACCGCAGUGUCUAGUCGUAACGGAACACCUGUCGAACACUGCGCGCAGGUACGUACGCAUAAUCCUGGUGCAGAUGGCACGGGCGAUAUUCCGUAUCCAGAAAGGUGUGUUUUUUCUUGACCACCUGUUAUUGUUCUGUUCUUUUACUUUCGUAAACGCCCGAUUAAAAUGACGUGAAUAAAGGUGGACCUGUA